UUCAAAGAGACCCCAUUUCUUAGCCUAGCC
rnacentral:piRNA from 1 species